CUGCUUUCUCAAUGCUUGUCUUACAAAUCUAUUGUUAUCAAAAUAUUCUCUACUGAUGGAAUAUCUAGUCAUCAUUGAAAAGCAAAGUGCUUUGUUUUCCAGGAGAGAUAGCUCAUAUUGGAAAUGGUCUGUAUUUUGUAAAAUUUUGCAAGCAAGCACACACUAUUGUUGUUAUUAAGUAUGUGUGUGUAUGUGUGUGUGUGUGUGUAAAAUCUAACAUUGGGUCAAAAAUCAAGGUAUUCUAUUUUAACAUACAUUUUUACUGUUUUCAUUUCAUUCUCUAGAAAUUGCAAAUAUCAUCAUGCAGAAAUUUCACUUCUUCAGUUUCCUGAGCUCACAGGUCACAUUGCUUUUUUACUGGAAUCUCUACCUGGCUCAGUAACCAAGGCAACAAAUCCCUGGUUAAUGAUUCACUAGAAAUUCACUGUGGAGGUGGCUUAUUAGUUUUUUUCCCCAAGAGCUGGGAUAAAAAGCUUGCUUGUGAUAUUUUCAUCUAUUUCUCUUUUCUCUCUUACUUGAGAUCCAGACAACCUAAAGUAAACUUAAUUAAAAUCAAUAGACUAAAAUAUCCAGUGCUUUAAAUUACUAUUUUGGGACUUACAGUGUUUGUAUAUAUAAAUAUGGAAUAUUAAUAAGUUUAAGAGUAUUUUGUUUUAUGUUUCUACCUCUUUCAGUUUGCAUUUUUGAUGUGUGCAUAAAAAACAAAAAUAAUUUUAAAAUGGUAGUUUUAGGCUUAAGCAGUAUCCUAGUUCUGGAAGAGUUGUUUGUAGAAAGCAUCUUUAAGAAGUUACUAACAUGCCUCAGGGGAAGAAGAGAAGACAAGUAAAAAUCCAACAGAACUUUGAAUAGGAAAAAAAGAGUCAACUUUAUGAAAAGGAGUAAGUAUGGGAAGAAAUUGACAAGAGGGCAAAAAACCAAAAACCACUAAACUAAAAAAACCCCUUGGUGUUGUUUAAAAAUAUUCCAUAGUAUAUGAAGAUACAGUUCUAAUGGAUGAAUGAAUCCAAAUAUAUUUCUGGAAAAUUUUGUUUUCUGCCAUAAUAUUUAAAGGGAAGCAAGGGGAAGAGGAAAUGAUAGAAUGACAUUUGACGUGUUUCCCAAGUGUUUAUAAAAGAGAAAAAGGCAGUGACACUGGAGAACAAAAUUACCUGGCUUGAAAGUGCUAAAAGGAAUGGACCUCUUGAGAGGAAUGGGGGAUACAUUAACAACGGACUUUUUACACGUUCCCCCCCCCCCCCUUGCCAAGGCAGCUUUUAGUGCCAUGUUUAAAAGGUUCAAAAUAGCUAAAAUCAUGAGUUGAGAACUGUUAACUCUAGGAAGUAUUUUAGAACUUCUAUUAAGAAUUGGAGACAACUAAUAUAAGAAAAUCCUCCUAGACCUUAUAAGUUAAUAGAAGGUAUUUAUCUAUGGUGUGACAGUUAUUUAUAUUGUCAAAAAAACAUACAAUGAAAAAAACUCAUGAUUUCAUUAUAUUGAAAGCUUGAGAAGAGCCCUUUAAAGAACAGUAGACACACUACUAAUAAAUAGUGUUUAGGCACACUAUUAAUAAAUCUGUCAUUUUUACAUUACACAAAUUGGAAAUUGUUUCUGGAAGAACAAAAAAGAAUUUUGUUUAGUAGUUCUGUAGAAUGUACUUGCCACUAAGGAACAUCUUGGCAGCAUGAUACAGAUCCCAUAGAGGAUCAAUUUUCCGACCAAACUCACCACUAGGAAAAACAAUAACAAAUUACCCAAAAGUCAAAAGUGGAUACAGUACUACCAGUGGCUAAGAAUUGGUUUUGUCCCUCCUUGUCCAUAUUCCUCCCUCCACUACAGUUUUGUCUGGAGGCAACUCUGACUUCCUUUUGGCCCAGAAACAUUGGGUCAGAGCUGGCUCUACUUCUGGGCACUAUAGCUGGAGUUCUUACCCACGCCAAGCCAGUUAGAACUACCAACCUUGCCAAUUUCAGCCAAGAAGACUCAAUCCAAACUUUUGUUUGUGCUUUUAUUGAACUCUCCCUCUGGUGGUGGCCUUCAUGUGAUGAUUAUGGAAUCUGAAGUUUCAGGAACCACUGCAGGGAGCUUGAGAAUGGAGUCAACUCAGAGGAAGCAAAGAAAAUUAGUGAUAUCAUUUGAGUCCUGAAUAAAGCCACACCUGAAGUUACUACUUGGUCUGGACUUUUCAUUUAAAUGAACAGUGCAGAACUUCCAGAAAAGAGCCAGUAGGAGCUGAGUAAUUCUGUAAUGAAAGGAAGUGUAGCUUGUGCAGGAGAUCUCUUCUUGGUCAACAACUGGAAUGUUAGAAAAGAAUUUAAAGGCAAAUACCAGUCCUUCAGGAAGCCUGUAUCAGAGUUAAGGGGAAAAAACCAACGACAACAAAGCCAAAGAACUGUUCGGUGCUGUUUUACUGUUCUGAUGUAGUAAAUAUACAAAGAAUACAUAGAAGCAACAAGAAAAUUAUUAGUCACCAGAAACCUUUGAGGAGGAGAGGGCAACAUAGUAAAUAAGGAGAGUAACUGGUUAAAUACCUAUAUUAUGCAUGGGCCCAAAAGUGAGUGCUUAUUCGGGCAGAUAGUUUUGAAAAUUUCUUAUAGUUUAUUUCACUGAGGUUGUCUAUAGUGGUCAACAUUGUAGUAGAGAGUAAAUCACCAGGUCAUUUUAUGGCAUGUAAACAGAUAUUGAGAAUUGUUUUAGGUUUUGGAACAUAAUUUGGAAAAUAAGGUACCAAUUAUAUUAAAUGACUUUGUAGCAGACAC